UUCAGUUUUCCCCUAUUAUCAAUGAUGUCCUCCUUUACUCACCAACCUCAUUUGUCGACAUCUAAACUUUAUUUAUUUCCCUUGUCCUAUAUACAUUAUGUGUCUGUUUCUCUGCUCAAAAUUGGUCGAAUUUCUUUUGACCGUUGAUGGAGAUCCAACCGCCCAGAUUCUCCUAUCUUCCCUAUAUAAUCCCACCUAUGUGACCCAACACUCCAACCCUAAUCCCCCUAGCCGCCGCCUCGAUCAACCGCUCCUACGCUGCCUCCAUCUCCCUCGCCGGCACCAGGGCUGCUCCUGGUGCCGGCGAGGCCCUUUGUGGCUGCCACCUCUUGUGCAAGUGAGAAAUUUGAUUCCACCACCUCAUACUUUCUCCUGCGCCACCCCUCCACCGCUAUGACUGCCAUCUUUGAUCUUUCCAUCUCAAGUUGCCGCCAGAUCUGCUACUUAUCACCACCCACCCUACUCCCUACCUUCUGGGGUAGGGAGCUCUGGUAAAGGCCAACUCUUACCUGGUAAACUUGAGCACUGACCCAUCAGUGUUGGUGGGGAUGCAGCAGGUGAAGGGGAGUGUAUCAAAGUGGAACAAUCAAGAGAUAGGAGUCCUUGAUGUGAAACUGACACAGCUGAUAGAAGUGGACAACGCCGCUCAAGAGCACAAAUCAGCAAGAAAAAUUCAAAGGUGUCGCUGUUGGAAGCUUCUGCUGUAUAAAGCGGCUCCCACACUGAUCAAUGCUGCAAAAGAGAAAACAAGAACAGCAAUGUGGCCAUCAGAAAACAUAGUUUUAUGUCUUGCAUACAUGUGAAUGGUUCUUUAGCAGCCUAUCAUCUGCAACUUCAGAGUUGAUACAAAGUUCACAGACCUGCAUUGAAGCACAUGGC